rnacentral:rRNA from 1 species
AUUGAACGCUGGCGGCAUGCUUUACACAUGCAAGUCGAACGGUAACAGGGAGCUUGCUCCGCUGACGAGUGGCGAACGGGUGAGUAAUGCAUCGGAACGUACCCAGUCGUGGGGGAUAACGUAGCGAAAGUUACGCUAAUACCGCAUACGUCCUGAGGGAGAAAGCGGGGGACCGUAAGGCCUCGCGCGAUUGGAGCGGCCGAUGUCGGAUUAGCUAGUUGGUAGGGUAAAGGCCUACCAAGGCGACGAUCCGUAGCGGGUCUGAGAGGAUGAUCCGCCACACUGGGACUGAGACACGGCCCAGACUCCUACGGGAGGCAGCAGUGGGGAAUUUUGGACAAUGGGCGAAAGCCUGAUCCAGCCAUGCCGCGUGAGUGAAGAAGGCCUUCGGGUUGGUAAAGUACGUCUUUCCUAGGUUGGAAGAAAAC